rnacentral:lncRNA from 1 species
CGGUAGUGACUUCACAUCUAGCUAACAAGGUACUGUCUACUAUUUAAAGACAAUGGGGGUGAGUUUGGUGAGUAUUAAUUUGGAUAAGUGCAUGAAUAUAGGAUUUUAAUUUAAUGUACUCACCUAUUUCAAUAAUGAUCUAUAGUUAUAUACACACCUCAUUUUUAAAAUACUUCAUUUUAACUUAUUUUUAUUUAUAUCCCUCUUCUCUAAUUAUCUAUCACAUCUUAUAUUUUCUCUCUCUCUUACUUUUUUUUCUUCUUUCUAUCUCUCUCAUCAUUCCACCUAAAAAAAGAUGUGAAAGAAACAUUAUUUCACACAUUUAUUUCUCUUUCAUUUUAUUUUCACGUACUUUUUAUUUUUAUUUUUACUUACUAUCAAAUUACCAUGUACUAUAUCUUUCACUUUUCUCCUAUUUGUUUUUGGUAUAAGUGUGGAUAAGUGUGGACUUUUUUCUUAUUGAUGAAUAUAUGACAAUCUACAAUUAAUAGUUAAUGUGAUGUGAAUAUGUUCAUAAAUUGAUAGCAGCCUGGUAGUUGAUUGAAUGACGUGUUUGCAGGAUACGAACUAAAAGACAAGAGGACAUGUCCAAAACCCAAUAGUCAUUUAUUUACUAUACAUUAUCGGGUCCUUCGACGAAGAUUGGUCAGACAUAGAUGCAGAAUAUAGACUUGUGGCAAGCAUAUGCUUCGUGACUCUCUUUACCCCAAUUUUCAAGUGCAAGUGGCUUCAAUUGAAUAAAGGUUGU